CCAAGCCUUGCUCAGACCUGGGCUGAGUUGGGCUCCCUCCGCUAACCCUCUGUCCGCUCCCCCCAGGCUCUCUCCUCUCCAGAUCCCGGGAGGAAACUUCCCCGAGGGAAGGCAGCACGGGAGCGGGCAACACCCACUGGCAGUGUCUGAUUGUCACCCUCCCCGGGGGAUGACUGCUACCCCGGGGAAGUCCAGCCUGGGCAGGAGUGCUAGCACUGCGAGGGCCCUGUGGGCGAGACACUCCGAUGGGGAAAGCCAGCCACAAAAGCAGCUUGUGGGCAGAGGCAAGGGUUGGGCAGUGCCCAGGAGGGUCGCUGUGGGAGGGCAGGGAGCCCAGGGGAGGUGGGUCCUGGCUGUUCUCUUCCUACAGCUCCACACUCCAUGCUCUGUGUCCCGCCAAGCCUCUGCUCCAAGCUCUGGGCGGCCACCCAAGGACAGAGAACAGCAAGGCACUGGGAUUGCAACACCAGACAAGCUGCCAGUCAUAACUGGGGAUCGGAUCCAAUCCCCAGCCUGAUACAAUAUA